UACGUAGGGUGCAAGCGUUGCCCGGAAUUAUUGGGCGUAAAGAGCUCGUAGGCGGCCUGUUGCGUCCGCUGUGAAAUCCCGGGGCUCAACCCCGGGCCUGCAGUGGAUACGGGCUGGCUAGAGGCAGGCAGGGGAGAACGGAAUUCCUGGUGUAGCGGUGAAAUACGCAGAUAUCAGGAGGAACACCGGUGGCGAAGGCGGUUCUCUGGGCCUGUACUGACGCUGAGGAGCGAAAGCGUGGGGAGCAAACAGG
rnacentral:rRNA from 1 species